UGCUGGGUAGCUCAGUCAGUAGAGCAUGAGACUCUGAAUCUCAGGGUCGUGGGUUCGAGCCCCACAUUGGGCAA